rnacentral:lncRNA from 1 species
CGCGAACUCGGAUUCCACCUGAGGAUGUCAGAUGACAAAAACCUGUGUAGUUUCCAAGAUAGGAUUUUCCUGGCCUGGGAGUCCUUUGGCGGUGCUUGGUAGAACCUGAUAAUUUAACAGCGCCCAAGAGUGUUCUUUCACCUUAUGAACGUAUGUCCUACCUCCAGGUGCUGGGAGUGCUGUGAGCAGAGAGGAAAAACAGAAUCAAGCGGAGGGCAAUAGAAUUCCAGAGCUGCAUAUCCCUUUGGACCUGAUGGAUAAAGAAAGGAGCCAUAUGCCUCUUAGUCAUAAAAAGAGAACAUUCGAAGGACCAUUCAAGCAAGUUCCAGGAGAUCCACCCCGGAAACCUGGCCAAUUAGCUGUCGAUGUCGCUCAAGAUCAAAACACCACCUGUGAGUUUUUAUAGUCUAGCAGACACUCAUAUUUUCUAAUUAUGAUCUGUUGUUGGAGGGUGAGAGUAAUAAACCCACAUGCAGCAGAGAGGGUUGGCUGUGG